rnacentral:rRNA from 1 species
AUUGAACGCUGGCGGCAGGCCUAACACAUGCCAGUCGAGCGGAUGAAGGGAGCUUGCUCCUGGAUUCAGCGGCGGACGGGUGAGUAAUGCCUAGGAAUCUGCCUGGUAGUGGGGGAUAACGUCCGGAAACGGGCGCUAAUACCGCAUACGUCCUGAGGGAGAAAGUGGGGGAUCUUCGGACCUCACGCUAUCAGAUGAGCCUAGGUCGGAUUAGCUAGUUGGUGGGGUAAAGGCCUACCAAGGCGACGAUCCGUAACUGGUCUGAGAGGAUGAUCAGUCACACUGGAACUGAGACACGGUCCAGAAUCCUAAGGGAGGCAGCAGUGGGGAAUAUUGGACAAUGGGCGAAAGCCUGAUCCAGCCAUGCCGCGUGUGUGAAGAAGGUCUUCGGAUUGUAAAGCACUUUAAGUUGGGAGGAAGGGCAGUAAGUUAAUACCUUGCUGUUUUGACGUUACCAACAGAAUAAGCACCGGCUAACUUAGUG